CACGUGACCUCUCUUUCUCCUCGAGCGCAGCUGCGCAGGUCGACGACCCGGGCUCCGCCGCCGCCGCCUCGCCUCGCCGCCGGCGCGCUCGCUCGCUCGGCUGGUCCGCGUAGUGGGCUGCCUUCCAUAGUCGGCUCUGGAGGAGUUUUGAGGGAGGGAGGCGCAGGCAUGGGCGAGGAAGAAGAAGACCCCGACUGGCUCCGCGCGUUCCAGCCACCAACUACAUCGACGGUGAUGCUUUCUUCGGGCUCCGAUGAUUCUCCUGAAAACAGUCCUACAAGGACUACACCAUCUGGAGAAGAACAAAAGGGGGAAAACAAGGCUAGUUCAGACCAUGCAGGGGAUGGAGAUGCUGCUGCACUAAAUAAGGGCAAAAAGGCAACACCUACUAGGAGGAAAACCCCUACUAGUCAAGAAGAUGCUUUCGACAAAGAUGAGAAACCAACCAUGGAAUCAAAUCAAGAUAAGCCUCCAAAACGCUCGAGCCCGAGGGAGUUGCAGAUCCAAGCGAAGGCCAAGACCCGCAAGACUUUGAGCAAGACUCCAAAGAAGAAGUUGGUUAAACCCCCAUCUGGUUCUAAUGCUUCAAAGGUUACUGGACCAAAAGCUGGUCCAGAUCAAAUAGAUGAUACCUUGGAACAUCAAGAAGAGGGAGUUGCUGAAGAAGACAUGCAGGAUAAACUUACAGAGCACUCUGUCUCCCAGAGGUUGCCAUUAAUCAUUCCUGAUAAAAUUCAGCGUUCAAAGGCAUUGAUUGAAUGCGAUGGUGACUCGAUAGACUUAAGUGGAGACGUUGGAGCUGUUGGGAGGAUAAUAAUUUCAAACAGUCCUAACGGAAAUCAGGAAUUGUUAUUGGACCUAAAAGGAACAAUAUACAAAUCAACAAUUGUUCCAUCCAGGACAUUUUGCGUUGUCAGUGUAGGACAAACAGAAGCGAAGAUAGAGUCUAUCAUGGAUGACUUUAUUCAAUUGGAACCCCAAUCCAAUUUAUUUGAAGCAGAGACUAUGAUGGAAGGUACCCUUGAUGGAUUCACAUUUGAUUCUGACGAGGAGGGUGACAAGCUUCCUGAACCGCAUGCUUCUCAAAACGAUCAAAAUAAUGAAGAUGGGGAUCAACCUAAGGCAAAAACCAAAAGAAAAGCUGAGAAACCGGCACACUGUUGCAGGAACUAAGUUAAUAAGGAACGUACCCAAAAUCACAUCUGGAGCACCUUGAGCUUCUGCAGCAGCAACAUGAUUGACACGGGCCUUUGAUGCUGGUGCGGUAGAGUUGCUCUGGGCAGGGACAAUCUUCACGCGUCGGGGCUUCGGACACUUGUCAGCGUAAUGUCCUGGGUCUCCAUAGUUGAAGCACACCCCGGGCUUGAUGCCUUGCUCCUUCUUGGCAGGUUGUUGCUGUGUCGAAGCUGCAACAGGGCGUGGAGCUUGAUUGCGGAUGUUGUUGCCCGCGUUGUUGUUGAAGAACUGACGCUGCGGACGAACAACAGACGAAGAACCUCCCUGUGGCAUGGACUGGGGUCCUAAAGUCAAGAACAAAAUUUACAUCAAUGCGCGGUUGCAAUCUGAGUAGUUAUCUUUUACUCCGUACAGUGAUGACGCAAAACUUACAGGAGAUUAGCUACUACAACUAAUUACCCUUCGCAUGUCCAUGGAAAUAAGGUAGCAUAUAUAUAUACAUUAAUUCUGAACCAAGUCUCCGUAUUUCAGGCUCCUUGCAGCAUAUGGCUUUACUCUCAGCUUGCUAUUCUUGCCCAACUGCUUGUGGAGUUGUGGGGUGAAACAGGUAUCACCACCUGCAGAAGAAGUUCUAGUUCUGAAAGACAACAUACCUUCCAUGAUACAUUGAUGCCUUGUUGCCUCCAGAUAGGCUCAGAAGUCUAUCAUACCAAAGAUGCUCUCUACUGAAGGAUUCACUAAACAACCUUUCAUAUUUUCAUCUUUAUUUCCUAAACCUAAACUCAACCUUUUAGUAAUGGACACAAUUUCUCGGUCCAGGAAUACAGAGAAUGCGACCAAUAAGA